UUACUGAGUUACCGCUCUAUAACCCUUUGUGAACAUACCUAACCGUUGCUUCGGCGGGCAGGGGAAGCCUCUCGCGGGCCUCCCCUCCCGGCGCCGGCCCCCACCACGGGGACGGGGCGCCCGCCGGAGGAAACCAAACUCUAUUUACACGACGUCUCUUCUGAGUGGCACAAGCAAAUAAUUAAAACUUUUAACAACGGAUCUCUUGGUUCUGGCAUCGAUGAAGAACGCAGCGAAAUGCGAUAAGUAAUGUGAAUUGCAGAAUUCAGUGAAUCAUCGAAUCUUUGAACGCACAUUGCGCUCGCCAGCAUUCUGGCGAGCAUGCCUGUUCGAGCGUCAUUUCAACCCUCAAGCACCGCUUGGUUUUGGGGCCCCACGGCACACGUGGGCCCUUAAAGGUAGUGGCGGACCCUCCCGGAGCCUCCUUUGCGUAGUAACUAACGUCUCGCACUGGGAUCCGGAGGGACUCUUGCCGUAAAACCCCCAAAUUCUUUACAGGUUGACCUCGGAUCAGGUAGGAAUACCCGCUGAACUUAAGCAUAUCAAUAAGC
rnacentral:rRNA from 1 species